AUGGGCAUGAUGGGAUGCCGUGCAGUCCCUACGCCGAUUGAACAAAAUCAUCAAGUGACGGCUCAGUCAGGCGAGCUGGUGAAUAAGGAAGAUUAUCAGAAACUGGUUGGGAGGUUAUUGUACUUGUGUCAUACCAGGCCUGACAUUACGUAUGCCGUGGGUGUGGUGAGCAGAUACAUGCAUGAACCAAGGAGUGGGCAUCUUGAUAUUGUGCACAGAAUUCUAAGAUACUUGAAGGGGACUCCAGGUAAAGGGUUGUGGUUUGCGAAGAGUGGACAUCUUGAAGUGGAUGGCUAUAGUGACUCUGAUUGGGCCAGUUGUCAAGAUGAUAGAAGAUCAACUUCUGGCUACUGUGUGUUUGUGGGAGGAAACUUGGUGUCGUGGAGAAGCAAGAAACAACCUGUUGUGUCUAGAUCAACAGCAGAAGCCGAGUAUAGAGCUUUAUCUCAAGGGUUAUGUGAGAUGCUCUGGGUGAAGUACCUACUGAGCGAGUUGAAACUUCUGAGGAAGGGACCCUUGAAGGUGUGGUGUGACAAUCAGUCAGCUAUAGCUAUUGCUAAUAACCCAGUUCAGCAUGAUAGGACAAAACAUGUGGAAAUUGAUCGCUUCUUCAUUAAGGAGAAACUUGAUGCUGGUAUCAUCAGUCUUACUCACGUCAGCUCUGGGCAGCAGUUUGCAGAUUGCUUGACAAAGGGACUGGGAACGAAGGACUGUAACUUGGCAUGUGACAAGAUGGGGAUGAUAGAUAUCUACCACCCAUCUUGA
rnacentral:rRNA from 1 species